GGAGGCGUCGCAUAGUGGUCUAGUGCACCGUCUUGGAAAGGCGGCAAGGUGAAAGCCUUCGAGGGUUCAAAUCCCUCCGCCUCCGCCU
rnacentral:tRNA from 1 species